CGAGCUCUAGUAAAGGGGUGCUGCAGGCGGCUGCCGCCCCCAACCCGCGCCCUCGGGUCCCCCCAUCUCCCCUUAGACUUAAGGGCGUGAGGGAAGCACGCGGGCUCUUUCGCUUGCGGCAUUGUCCGUUUUUCUCCCUUUUGUGUUCUGGUUCUGAAUUCCUCCAGGAUCCAGGAUGACAAUCCGACACCAAGGCCAGCAGUACAGGCCGAGGAUGGCAUUUCUCCCGAAGGUUUCUGUGCUGGCCUGUUGAUCCUGAAGAAUCAGCACUGCUUGUGCAGAACUGCUGGAGGGUGCAGAGCCUGUUACCAGGAACUUCCUCCCCUCUCAGGUGGGGCUGUUCUGAAGGUGGUCCACACUGUUUCUCCCAGAGGCUCCACUUGCCCAGGACUCCAGUGGGCUACAGAAUGAACCCGAUUCCCCUCCUUUCUUUCCCUGGCUCACUUCCCCAGAUCUCUGCUGCCACUUCUCAGGAUCAAUCCUUUCACCAACACUAGGAGAUUUUUAUUCACAUUUUACAGUUUCAGACCCAGAAAAGUGAACCAAUUCCACUGGCCACAUCCUUUCGAAACCAGAUGAAGUGACUCCAUCGCUGACGUUAGGCCCAGAUGGACUGAUCAACUCCCCCUCCCCUGGUACCAGUCAGUCAGUGGAGACCACGAUCCCACCUGCCUUAGUCACUGUGACCAAGGAUUUUCCCUCUGUAUUACCCACUCCUGGAAGCCAUCACAGAGCCAGGUCUUUGGGCAAGGGCUCACCUGUGACUCAUGGUGCCACUUCCUUAAAAAUAAACGUUUACU